UACGUAGGGGGCAAGCGUUGUCCGGAUUUAUUGGGCGUAAAGCGCGCGCAGGUGGUGGGUUAAGUUGUGGGUAAAAGGCAUUGGCUCAACCAAUGUAAGCCUGCAAAACUGGCUCACUUGAGUGCAGGAGAGGGGAGUGGAAUUCCCGGUGUAGCGGUGGAAUGCGUAGAGAUCGGGAGGAACGACCGGUGGCGAAGGCGGCUCGCUGGGCCGGUCCGUGACGCUCAGGCGCGAAAGCGUGGGGAGCAGAGCGUAGAUCCAGAUACCUCAGCACACAGUCUCUGCACCGUA
rnacentral:rRNA from 1 species